rnacentral:lncRNA from 1 species
CACUUUCUAACUAAUCUAAGACUUCAAAAUAAAGGGGGAUUUGUUUUGGACGAAAAUUGAAAACAAAAUAGAAACUUUAAAACAAAACAGAUUGUAAAACGUUUUUGGAUGAAAAGGAUGGAUAAAAGGCUAGUUUGGAGGUUCUUCUCCACACAUGACACACUUGCAAACAAAAUGAUUUUCAGUUGUUCUUUCAAUAAAUUAUGAAACUCAACACCCCAAGUUAAUUAGAUACGCUUAAAUUAACCUUCAAGUUCUCCUUAAGUUAAUGAAUUGGAUGGAAAAGCGCAUACAACAAUUCAAAGCAUUCCUCAAAGGUUCCUUCCGUGAUGAGCACAAUAAAGAUACAAUCAAGAAUCAUGAAGCACAAUGAGAACUAUAAGUGUUGACGAGGCAUUCGUUACUAUGAUGAGCAUGAAACUAGUGCCAAGAAUUCAUUCAACGCGAUCAUUUUCAAGCGACCUUCACUACUUGUGAUUAUAAGAUUGUAACUAUUAGGUGAAACUCCCUCAUAAUCUAGCAUUA